rnacentral:rRNA from 1 species
AACGAACGCUGGCGGCAUGCCUAACACAUGCAAGUCGAACGAGACCUUCGGGUCUAGUGGCGCACGGGUGCGUAACGCGUGGGAACCUGCCCUUAGGUUCGGAAUAACUCCCCGAAAGGGGUGCUAAUACCGGAUAAUGUCUUCGGACCAAAGAUUUAUCGCCUUUGGAUGGGCCCGCGUUGGAUUAGCUAGUUGGUAGGGUAAAAGCCUACUAAGGCGACGAUCCAUAGCUGGUCUGAGAGGAUGAUCAGCCACACUGGGACUGAGACACGGCCCAGACUCCUACGGGAGGCAGCAGUGGGGAAUAUUGGACAAUGGGCUAAAUCCUGAUCCAGCAAUGCCGCGUGAGUGAUGAAGGCCUUAGGGUUGUAAAGCUCUUUUACCCGGGAUGAUAAUGACAGUACCGGGAGAAUAAGCUCCGGCUAACUCCGUG